GACCUGCUCACUGAUAAUAAAUUAAAGAGCCGCAGUAUUCUGACUGUGCGAAGGUAGCAUAAUAGUUUGUCUUUUAAAUGGAGGCUAGAAUGAAUGGUUGGACAAAGUAUCUUCUGUUUCUUAAAUAUAAAAGGAAUUUGACUUUUAAGUGAAAAGGCUUAAAUAAAUUAGAAAGACGAUAAGACCCUAUAAAUCUUUACAAUAAAUAUAUUUUAAAUUUUUAAUUAUAAAUUAAUUAAAUAUAAUAUUAUAUUUUUGUUACACUGGGGCGGUGUAGAUAUAUUGAAAAACUGUCUAUAAAAUAAAAACAAUAAUUAUUGGUUAAUUAAUUUGAUCCUUUAAGAGAUUAGAAGAUUAAGAUACUUUAGGGAUAACAGCGUUAUUUUUUCUGAGAGUUCUUAUCGAAGAAAAAGUUUGCGACCUCGAUGUUGAAUUAAAGUUUCUUUAUGGUGUAGCAGCUAUAGAAGAGAGUCUGUUCGACUUUUAAUACUUUACGUGAUCUGAG
rnacentral:rRNA from 1 species